CAGUCGCCGCGGGAAUACGAAGGGGGCUAGCGUUGUUCGGAAUUACUGGGCGUAAAGCGCACGUAGGCGGACAUUUAAGUCAGGGGUGAAAUCCCGGGGCUCAACCCCGGAACUGCCUUUGAUACUGGGUGUCUAGAGUAUGGAAGAGGUGAGUGGAAUUCCGAGUGUAGAGGUGAAAUUCGUAGAUAUUCGGAGGAACACCAGUGGCGAAGUCGGCUCACUGGUCCAUUACUGACGCUGAGGUGCGAAAGCGUGGGGAGCAAACAGGAUUAGAUACCCCUGUAGUCCCUGUCUCUUAUAC
rnacentral:rRNA from 1 species